GGGGCCGAUUUGGAUUCGACGACGGUUACAAAACUUGAGGGGCAUGCCGAGUUGGUAACAGAACUCGUAAAUCCACUGUUGCACACUUAUAGUUGCCAACGACGACAACUACGCCCUAGCCGCUUAAGCCGGCUAGCAGCCUCUAGGGGAUGCCUGUAAACCCGAAGAUUUGGCUGUCAUAUAGAACAGGAUCGCCGCCAAGUUCGCUGUAGACGUAACGGCUAAAACUUAUACAGCUCGCUCCAAACACCCUGCCACUCGGGCGGUGAGGAGUUAACUAAGUAGAGAUGGCUAAGCAUGUAGAACCGAUAGCGGCGGACUGGCGGACGGGGGUUCAAAUCCCCCCGGCUCCACCA
rnacentral:tmRNA from 3 species